rnacentral:lncRNA from 1 species
AGACCCGUUCUGGAGUUCUAGAUUUCUGCUUGUGGUGUGUCAAUCAUUCAAUCAGACCUAACAGCAACUCCAGAUUGCGGCUGUCAGAAGCCGUGGCCUCGCACGCCUUUCCUGGGCAACACCAUCAGUCCACCAGGGCAGGCUGGACACAUGGAGCCUGCGACUCUCCCCUGCCCAGUCCAGCCCCUGCUCCACUGCUGAGGAGCAGAACUCACCACAUAGGAAUGAAAAGGAGGAGGUGAAAAGGGAGCCUUGAGGGAGAGAAGACAUGAUAUUGACCAUAACAGAGUUUUCCAGCUGGAUUUGAUGUCACUUUCCCAUGCUGUCACUAAUCCCCAGCCACAACAGAAUGGGUCACACUCUUCUGCACUUUGGACCCUUUGCCCAUGCCAGAGUUAUCCGCUGACCCUCUUCCCAUGGCUGUCACCUCUUCAAAAAGGUCCACUGAACCUGAAGUAGAUGUCCUCCCUCUAUUAAGAUUCAACGUAUCAAAUCCACCCUUUCAAAGUCUUAGACUAGCACCUGGCAUACAUCUCCUUGCUGACAAAAAAGGAAAUGACUUCUGAAGACAUGAAAAAAAAAAAACAGGGUGAAGACAAAUUGGGUUAGAAUAACCCAUGACCUAGAUCAUUAGACUUUGACUAAUGAAGAACUGCCUUUUAACAGAGUUAAAAUUGACAGCACCAUGGCCUCACACCCAACAGGGUUUGAGGCUGGACCCUUCUUUGACAAACGAUGCCCUGAUUUACGCGCAAAAAUACCCAUCACAGCAUUAUUUAUAAUAUUCCCUGUCCAAUGCUGGGGACCUAGUUCAAUUAGCUAUAGAACAGCCAUUUGAUGAAAUAUUAUAAAGCUAUUAAAAUAAUAGGGGCAAAGAAAUUUUAAAACAUGGGGAAAGCCUUGAUGUUGUAAUAUUAAAUGAAUGAAGGAAUUCUAUGAAUGAAACUCAUUAAAACAUGUCUUCACAGUAGCUGCAUUGAUUGCACAUUUACUAUCGUUCAGGCAUCUUUUCCAAAUGUGAUACAGGAGGGCAAGCUUGGAAACAAGACGGGAACCUCUUGAUCCAUGGCACAAUGCUGUCGACCCCUAAGUUCUUCCUCUUUAUCUAAACCCAGGUUUGGAAGUACACCAAAAUAUUAAUACUAUACAUCAUUGCAAGCUUUCCUUCUUUGAUCCUCUGUAUUUUGUAAAUGUUCCAACACCUUUUAAAAUACACUUUUGUUCUCCUUUAAAGUCUCCCUGAGAGCUUCUAGAAGGCAGCUGCUGUGGGCUCACAUCAUCCAUCCUUCCCCCCGCAAAUGUGUAAAUAAAGAAACACCUCUGUGCCUUUAAAUUAUAACAGGCUAAACUUUCCCCUGUAAGUUGAUACUCAGACCAGAAGUCUGUGGGUAGGAAGAGUGUUGUGUUUUUUUGUUGCAGCUUCUUUUGGCUGAUAAACUAGCACUUAAGUGUUUCCCUUUUCCAAACCCCCAAAUGACAAGUAUCUUUGUGGUAAAGUGAUGGCCCAACUGUCAUGGCCAUCAUAAACGGUGCUGAGGACACUUAUUUUUAGUUUACUGUCUAAGGAAGCACUAGGCUUGCUAACCAGAGACCUUGGGGCCCAAACCCCU